rnacentral:ncRNA from 1 species
UCCAUCGCGAGGUGGAAUCUGAAGGAAGCCGGCGGCAAAUUCCUGGUCGGAGGAACACGAACAUCAUCAGGCACAAGUUGUAGGACAAGUUUGCAACACAAAACGAAAUCCCAUAAACUGAGCAGAUAGAACAGUGUAAAUGAUGCCGAUAUAUGGGAAGAAGGUUACUCGU